rnacentral:tRNA from 1 species
GGUCGUGUGGCUCAAUUGGUAGAGCAUCAUGCUAAAAACGUGAAGGUUGUGAGUUCGAGUCUCACCAUAACCA